UACGUAGGGUGCAAGCGUUAAUCGGAAUUACUGGGCGUAAAGCGUGCGCAGGCGGUUUUUUAAGGUUGAUGUGAAAUCCCCGGGCUUAACCUGGGAACUGCAUUGAGGACUGGAAGGCUAGAGUACGGCAGAGGGGGGUGGAAUUCCACGUGUAGCAGUGAAAUGCGUAGAGAUGUGGAGGAACACCGAUGGCGAAGGCAGCCCCCUGGGCCUGUACUGACGCUCAUGCACGAAAGCGUGGGGAGCAAACAGG
rnacentral:rRNA from 1 species